GCUGGGCGUGGUGGCACGUGCCUGUAGUCCCAGCUACUCGGGAGGCUGAGGCUGGAGGAUCUCUUGAGUCCAGGAGUUCUGGGCUGUAGUGCACUAUGCCGAUCAGGUGUCCACACUAAGUUCAGCAUCAAUAUGGUAACCUCCUAGGAGCGGAAAACCACCAGGUUGCCCAAGGAGGGGGGAACCAGCCUAGGUCGGAAACGGACCAGGUCAAAACUCCCGUGCUGGUCAGUAGUGGGAUCAUGCAUGUGAAUAGCCACUGCACUUCAGCCUGGGCAACAUAGCGAGACCCCGUCUCA
rnacentral:SRP_RNA from 1 species